UACGAAGGGGGCUAGCGUUGCUCGGAAUCACUGGGCGUAAAGCGCACGUAGGCGGCUUUCUAAGUCAGGGGUGAAAUCCUGGAGCUCAACUCCAGAACUGCCUUUGAUACUGAAGAUCUUGAGUUCGGGAGAGGUGAGUGGAACUGCGAGUGUAGAGGUGAAAUUCGUAGAUAUUCGCAAGAACACCAGUGGCGAAGGCGGCUCACUGGCCCGAUACUGACGCUGAGGCACGAAGGUCAGGG
rnacentral:rRNA from 1 species